AUAGAUAGAUAGAUAGAUAGAUAGAUAGAUAGAUAGAUAGACAGAUAGAUAGAUAUGUUUUUAUUAUAGCCACACAGGGCUGAACACAGAAAUUGGACGAAAUACAAGCGUAGAGUUUUUCAUUUUCGAGGUGGGCUGGGUGGGACACACAAAGAAAAGUCAAAUCAAUAGGGAUUGUAAUCGUUGGGGUGU